CGUCAUUUCCCCCCUCAGCACACCCUUUGGGUGCGCUGGCGUUGGGGCUCCUCCGCCCUCUGUGGCGGCAGGGCCCUCAAAACCAGUGGCGGGCCCGUCUGGUUGGCUCCGAGCGCAGUACCGAACGCAAGUUCUCUCUCUCGCUCUGCAGCCCCGGUCGGUGCCCAGCCGUCAAACCGCGCAGGAGGCUCUGCUUGCAGAACCGCCUCGCAUUUUUACAAGGUUGACCUCGGAUCAGGUAGGAUUACCCGCUGAACUUAAGCAUAUCAAUAAGCGGAGGAAAAGAAACCAACAGGGAUUGCCCCAGUAACGGCGAGUGAAGCGGCAACAGCUCAAAUUUGAAAUCUGGCCUUCGGGUCCGAGUUGUAAUUUGGAGAGGAUGCUUUUGGCGCGGCGCCGUCCGAGUUCCUUGGAACAGGACGCCAUAGAGGGUGAGAGCCCCGUACGGGCGGCCGCCUAGCCUUUGUAAAGCUCCUUCGACGAGUCGAGUAGUUUGGGAAUGCUGCUCAAAAUGGGAGGUAAAUUUCUUCUAAAGCUAAAUACCGGCCAGAGACCGAUAGCGCACAAGUAGAGUGAUCGAAAGAUGAAAAGCACUUUGAAAAGAGGGUUAAAAAGUACGUGAAAUUGUUGAAAGGGAAGCGCCUGUGACCAGACUUGCGACCCGUGGAUCAUCCGGUGUUCUUCACCGGUGCACUCCGCGGGCUGCAGGCCAGCAUCGGUUUUCCUAGGGGGUUAAAGGUCGCAGGAACGUAGCUCUUUCGGGAGUGUUAUAGCCUGUGGCGUCAUGCCUCUGGGGAGACCGAGGACCGCGCUUCGGCAAGGAUGCUGGCGUAAUGGUCACCGGCGACCCGUCUUGAAACACGGACCAAGGAGUCAAGCAUUGGGGCGAGUGUCUGGGUGCCAAACCCGCACGCGAAAUGAAAGUAAACGCAGGUGAGAGCUUCGGCGCAUCACCGACCGAUCCUGAUGUCUUCGGAUGGAUUUGAGUAAGAGCCUUACCGCUUGGACCCGAAAGAUGGUGAACUAUGCCUGUAUAGGGUGAAGCCAGAGGAAACUCUGGUGGAGGCUCGCAGCGGUUCUGACGUGCAAAUCGAUCGUCAAAUAUGGGCAUGGGGGCGAAAGAC
rnacentral:rRNA from 1 species